UUACAGCACAGAAAACACCAGCUUAACUUGUACUAGCUGUGACCACAUAAUUUCUUUUCAGGCUUAUUAAAGAGGACUGGAGACCAACUGGGAUUAGCCACACGCCUUUGAGGAAGUCUUGGGAGUUGGUGUUGAACUUCUUUUUGUAGCUCCUGUUGUUUGAGCAGGAUAUAUAAAGAUACCUUUGUUACCCUUUCUGGAAAAGGAACAGCUUCUUCAGUCUUACAGUUCUUUGAGAAUUUCUCCGCUUUGAGUUUUUAUUUGGCCCUUGCAAAGGAGGCCACGGCCUUGGCAGCAGAACUGGAGAACAUUUAAAGGUAUUUAAAGCUUCCUCAUCCAGGCCAGUGGGUCAGAGCUCACUGUUCGCUCUUUCUCAAAAAAUGAGG
rnacentral:lncRNA from 1 species